GAAACUUCUGGCAUUUCCAGUCAAACGAAGGUUCCAGAAGGACAUGGAACAAGGGAGCAAAGCCAGAAGUUUAACAUCAACAACAAGGAAAAAGAAGAAGAAAAUAAGUUUAAAUACUGCUCCUCAUUUUUUGCUGUCCCAUCUCAGCAUUUUAGUACUCCUGUUCACCUGAAAUUGGAACAUUGUAGUAUGCUAUUCAUCAACAUGGAGCCCCUUUUUCAGAGAUAGCUCCCCAAGAAGGGGAAGCUGCCAAGAUUCACCCUCUCUCCAGUGCCCUCGUUUUAAAACCAAACCAGGAUUUCUGAAUCUCAGCGCUAUCGACAAUUAAGACUGGAUAAUUCUUUGUUGUGUGGGGCUAUCCUGUCACUAGAUGCCAGUAGUACUCCAUUUAUGGACGGUGCCAAAUGUCCUUGGGGAGCACAAUCGUGCCUGGUAGAAAACAAAGGCAAGAGGCCAAAGGACUGAACCCUGAGGUCCACCAACAUUUGAAAGGAAGGCAGAGGAAGAGAAACUAUUAUGAAUGACCAAAUGAGGAGAGUUUCAAGAAAGAACUGUUUGGCAAAGUCGGCUGUUCCAGAGAAGUUACAUAAAAUGGACAGAAAAAAAAUCUUUGACUUUGGUGAUGAGGAGGUUCUUGGUGACCUAAGAGAGAUUUACAUGCAAUAUGCUAAGAUGGAAAUAAUGCUUUAAAAAAGAAAACACACAAUCAUUUUGCGGAAGACUUGAGAAAAACGUUUUCAGCUUAAAGAGAAAAAAGCAGUGAGACCCCUUCGGCGUCUGUGCAAAACUGUUUGCUUGGCUCUGGAGGUGAUAAAAAUAAUUUAUGAAGCUCUACAUUUUUAGCAAGAGGAAAUGACCUCAGCUUUUGGCAAUCUGAUGCAGUUAGUGAAGCCUCUCUCUACUACUUUUAUGGAUUUCCUUGAGCUGCAUAUUCUGUGACCUGUAUUUCAGAUUUAUUGGCAGAUACAUAAGCCACAUUAAGUAACAUAAAAUGCAGUGAAUGCAUCAAACAACUCAGCGGGGACCGACUGACAGCGGGCGAGAGGCUGCCUCUUCGAAGAAGUCAUUCCGAAUCUGAUACCUGUUUAUGCAUUUGUCUAACCAGGCUCUGGAUUUUUAUUUUAAAUAAAGACAUUAUUUCAAAACAAAA
rnacentral:lncRNA from 1 species